UGGGGAAUAUUGGACAAUGGGGGGAACCCUGAUCCAGCCAUGCCGCGUGUGUGAAGAAGGCCUUAUGGUUGUAAAGCACUUUAAGCGAGGAGGAGGGUACUGGUAUUAAUACUACCAGGUACUGGACGUUACUCGCAGAAUAAUCACCGGCUAACUCUGUGCCAGCAGCCGCGGUAAUACAGAGGGUGCGAGCGUUAAUCGGAUUUACUGGGCGUAAAGCGUGCGUAGGCGGCUAAUUGAGUCGGAUGUGAAAUCCCCGAGCUUAACUUGGGAAUUGCAUUCGAUACUGGUUAGCUAGAGUGUGGGAGAGGAUGGUAGAAUUCCAGGUGUAGCGGUGAAAUGCGUAGAGAGCUGGAGGAAUACCGAUGGCGAAGGCAGCCAUCUGGCCUAACACUGACGCUGAGGUACGAAAGAAUGGGGAGCAAACAGG
rnacentral:rRNA from 1 species